GGGAUUGCCCUAGUAACGGCGAGUGAAGCGGCAACAGCUCAAAUUUGAAAUCUGGCGCAAGCCCGAGUUGUAAUUUGUAGAGGAUGCUUCUGGGUAGCGACCGGUCUAAGUUCCUUGGAACAGGACGUCAUAGAGGGUGAGAAUCCCGUAUGUGACCGGCCCGCACCCUUUACGUAGCUCCUUCGACGAGUCGAGUUGUUUGGGAAUGCAGCUCUAAAUGGGAGGUAAAUUUCUUCUAAAGCUAAAUACCGGCCAGAGACCGAUAGCGCACAAGUAGAGUGAUCGAAAGAUGAAAAGUACUUUGGAAAGAGAGUUAAAAAGCACGUGAAAUUGUUGAAAGGGAAGCGCCUGCAACCAGACUUCGCGGCAGUGUUCCGCCGGUCUUCUGACCGGUUCAUUCUCUGUCGCGAGGCCAUCAUCGUCUGGGCCCGCCGGAUAAGACCUUAGGAAUGUAGCUCACCUUCGGGGGAGUGUUAUAGCCUAGGGUGAUGCGGCGAGGCUCGGGCGAGGUCCGCGCUUCGGCAAGGAUGAUGGCGUAAUGGUUGUCGGCGGCCCGUCUUGAAACACGGACCAAGGAGUCUAACAUCUAUGCGAGUGUUCGGGUGUCAAACCCCUACGCGUAAUGAAAGUGAACGGAGGUGGGAACCGCAAGGUGCACCAUCGACCGAUCCUGAUGUCCUCGGAUGGAUUUGAGUAAGAGCAUAGCUGUUGGGACCCGAAAGAUGGUGAACUAUGCCUGAAUAGGGUGAAGCCAGAGGAAACUCUGGUGGAGGCUCGCAGCGGUUCUGACGUGCAAAUCGAUCGUCAAAUUUGGGUAUAGGGGCG
rnacentral:rRNA from 2 species